GUGUGUUAACCUCCCCAUUCGGGGGGGGGUUGGUUGUGUUUUAAAAACUUGACCAAUCCCCCGAGGAGCUCUGAAAGGAGCGCUCUGCUCUAGUUAUUUAAAAAUAUAUGAUUAAUGAAACAUGAGUAUGACAUAUAAUCUAAAACAGAGACUUAAAAUGGAAUUCUGUGGUUUGUAACUAGAGAACCGUAUAAUAGGUAGUAAAUUUAAAUAAUCAUGCUUAUGAAAAUAAAGAUUUUUUUAACAUAAUCAAUCUUGCAUGCAGACAGUACUGUACAUGUUAGUAUAGAAUAUCAUGAUCCUUCAUCUUAAAAGACAAAAUGUAAAGUUAUCACAUUCUAAGAAUUAUGAAACAACUGGUUUUAUAUAAAGGAAAUAAAGUAAUUUUAAUACAGAGAACUGAAAUAUUUAAAACUCAAGGAGCCAAGUUAAACAUAAUGCAUUACGAUAGUAGUUUGCCCUACAAUUCAGUGAUUCACCAUGCCACAGUAAUAACACAUACAUACAUGUUAUGUUAUCAGAAAGAAAAAUAGCCGAAGAACUUUGAUUUGUGAACACAACAAUUCAAUUUUCCAACACUAAAAAUACAUAAUGUUUCAGAUAUUAACAAUACAAAAGUAAAGUUUAGAAUCUUUAAGUGCAAUUUUUAAGGAGGGGCAAAAAACAAACAAAAAGUAACUGUUCUGUGGUAAUUUAUGUUAAACAGUGAUAAGUACAUCCUACCACAAGUUAAGUAGUUGGUAAUUACUUUGCUACAGUUACUGAAAAGGUAGAAAGAAAAUUAAAACCCACUGAUGUGCACACUCUCUUCCUGAACCUGAUCUGAAUGUAGUCAAAAUAUUACACAGUUUUUGUGAGACCAGAGUGAAAUUUAUCUGUUUCUCUUGAAUACUAGGUGCUGUUACCCUACCCUCACAACAGAUUGGCCACUCAUGUUGCUUUUGAGACCUUGGUCAUGUACAGUAACCAACAUGGUUUUCUACUAACAAACUAACAUUACAGAGCUGAGUUUUUGAGAAGCUGGUAAUCACUCAGGUAGUGAAGAAAUUCCCCACCUCUUAUGGAACCCAAAGAUAAAUUACAAUGUUUACAAGACCAUGCCAUCUCUCCUUAUACUGAGCCAGAUAAAUCCAGUCUAUAGACUACAACCCAAUUUCGUUAAACCUUUGAUGCUAGAGCUUAAUAUUGAAACAUUUAGGCUUUAUCUCAAAGAAAACACAACUCAUAACCACUACAAGAAACAGGUGGUUAAUGCUGCUUUUGGAGAUACUAGCUGUCUGCAGUAGGAAUAACUGGUGAAUACAUUUGUGGGUAUAAUGAAUAUUUAUUGAUUGCUUUCACCAUGGAGGCAACAUUUUCAGUGGCUAUUCCUUGAAGCCAAACUGUUCUGGCCGCAAUUUUUGAUUAGUAUUCAUUUGAUAGCUUAACCUGUAAUACAUAACCUUGUCAAGUGCUUUAAUACUGAAGUGGUUUACUAAUUAUUCACACUACUCUUGUGUCCUUAUUCGAUGUUACUUGGUGGGUGAUUAAAGUUUAAUUGCAAAAGUAGCAUCGAGCGCAUUUAGAAAAGAAUAAAUAUGAGCGUAAAUUAAAUUUUCUAACCUAACUAUAAUGUAUGAGGCUUUUUGUGCUGAAUUUCUGCCUUAUUCAAUUCACUAAUUUAAUUGAUAUAGAAUAUAAAAGAGAGAUUUAUCGUGGGUAUUGGCCAGUGGUGAUUCAGCAGUAUCUGAAUUUUGCGUUAGUGUACUACCUGUCACUAGUGUGUCGGAAAACAUGGUUAGGUAUGCAUCACACAGAAUGUAGAAUUACUUGCAAAAAUGAAUGUGAAUAUAGUGUAACAAUGGUGGUAACAGCCAAGAUUUAUCAGUGAUGAAACUGUAAGUGACAAGGUUUCAUUUCAGAAAGAAUGUCUUUAAAAUGUGUGAGGAGUUGAAUGAAAGAGAGGUUAUGUUUGAAAAACUUUGAUAGGAAGCUGCUGUUUUUGUAAGCUUAAAUAGUCCUAAAAUGUUUUCUAGACAAUGCUGUAUACCUCAGGUAUGAACCUAUACUGUAAAAGAAUGAUGGAUUUAAAUGUCGUGCCACAGAUUGCCAGUUACACUCCAUGAAGCAUAUGGCACUACAAUUACAGAGAGUUGGAAGAAACGUAUGGCCAAUGAAGCCUAAGUAAUCCAGUCAUGCUCUUACAUAGCUCCAGUCCUGAUGCCUAAUGGAUUGUACUGAAGAAGAAAUUCUCAGCAGUUUUGAAGUCCAGGAUGUGAUGAGUGAUAUUUCGGCUCCUUCAAUGUGUCAGAUGUCAUGCCUUCGGAAUGUAAGAUUAACAGUUAUUUCCAUCCCAUGCAAUAAAUGAUAUUUACGAUUAAAUGAAUAUAAACAGAUUAUAUGAUAAA